rnacentral:rRNA from 1 species
CAAAUAAUUAUAAGAACAAAAUUAUUCGCCAGAGUACUACCGGCAACAGCCCGAAACUCAAAGGACUUGGCGGUGCUUUAUACCCUUCUAGAGGAGCCUGUUCUAUAAUCGAUAAACCCCGAUAAACCUCACCAAUCCUUGCUAAUACAGUCUAUAUACCGCCAUCUUCAGCAAACCCUAAAAAAGGGACAAAAGUAAGCUCAAUAAUAACACAUAAAGACGUUAGGUCAAGGUGUAACCUAUGGAGUGGGAAGAAAUGGGCUACAUUUUCUACCCAAGAAAAUUUAAUACGAAAGCCAUUAUGAAAUUAAUAGCCAAAGGAGGAUUUAGCAGUAAACUAAGAAUAGAGUGCUUAGUUGAAUCAGGCCAUGAAGCACGCACACACCGCCCGUCACCCUCA